rnacentral:rRNA from 1 species
AAUCACUGGGCGUAAAGGGCGCGUAGGCGGAUUAUCAAGUCUCUUGUGAAAUCUAAUGGCUUAACCAUUAAACUGCUUGGGAAACUGAUAGUCUAGAGUGAGGGAGAGGCAGAUGGAAUUGGUGGUGUAGGGGUAAAAUCCGUAGAUAUCACCAAGAAUACCCAUUGCGAAGGCGAUCUGCUGGAACUCAACUGACGCUAAGGCGCGAAAGCGUGGGGAGCAAACAGGAUUAGAUACCCUGGUAGUCCACGCCCUAAACGAUGUACACUAGUUGUUGGGGUGCUAGUCAUCUCAGUAAUGCAGCUAACGCAUUAAGUGUACCGCCUGGGGAGUACGGUCGCAAGAUUAAAACUCAAAGGAAUAGACGGGGACCCGCACAAGCGGUGGAGCAUGUGGUUUAAUUCGAGGAUACGCGAAGAACCUUACCUGGGCUUGAUAUCCUAAGAACCUUAUAGAGAUAUGAGGGUGCUAGCUUGCUAGAACUUAGAGACAGGUGCUGCACGGCUGUCGUCAGCUCGUGUCGUGAGAUGUUGGGUUAAGUCCCGCAACGAGCGCAACCCACGUAUUUAGUUGCUAACGGUUCGGCCGAGCACUCUAAAUAGACUGCCUUCGUAAGGAGGAGGAAGGUGUGGACGACGUCAAGUCAUCAUGGCCCUUAUGCCCAGGGCGACACACGUGCUACAAUGGCAUAUACAAUGAGACGCAAUACCG